CAGUAUUACGUCCAGUGACGUCAUCACGUUGUGUACUCAAUCUUCAGUGACAUGGUACUCAUUCGCUGGGUUUAACAGGACACGAUUGCAUCUGGUGCAAUUUAAUCGGACAAGAUUUGUUCGUCUGUUGUUUCCAACACCGCUUCAAGAUGAUGCAAUUUAUGUUGCUGUUUAGUCGUCAGGGGAAAUUAAGAUUGCAGAAAUGGUAUGUUGCUCACCCAGACAAAGUAAAGAAGAAGAUUACCCGUGAGCUUGUCACUUUGGUUCUUGCCAGGAAACCAAAGAUGUGCAGCUUUCUGGAAUGGAAAGAUUUGAAAAUAGUUUAUAAAAGAUAUGCCAGCCUUUACUUCUGUUGUGCCAUUGAACCAGCUGACAAUGAAUUAUUAACACUUGAAAUCAUACACAGAUAUGUUGAAUUGCUUGAUAAAUAUUUUGGCAGCGUAUGUGAGCUUGACAUAAUCUUUAAUUUUGAAAAAGCUUACUUCAUGCUUGACGAGUUAAUGCUUGGCGGUGAAGUGCAGGAAACCAGCAAGAAAAAUGUGUUGAAGGCCAUUGCUGCACAGGACCUAUUACAAGAGUUGGGAGCUUCCACUAUAAAAGAUUUGUCAGGUAGUGGUAUAGUCUUGUACUACUGAUCAAGUGUAUUAAGACGUGAAGCUAAAAACUCUCAAGUUAGUUUAGACAUUUUAGAGUCAGAAACACCAAAAGGCAUACUCGAAGACAUAGGGAUUUCAUUUCCCAGCUAGUAUCGAUACAUCCUUGGUCUGUGUGCUCCCCAGACUUUUCCAUGGAAAUUUUACUCACCGUCUGCUGCCACCACCACCACCACCAACCACUACUACUAUUACCAGUACCACCUUCACCACCACCACCACCACUUAUUCUACAACCAACACUAUUACUACUGCUGCUACUCCUACUACCACCACCACUACUACUACUACUGCCGAUGCCCUGUCAAAACAACAGCUAUCACCCUCUACCAACUGUCACCCUUACUCUCACUCUUUAAUAUUCUAAUGGUCUUAACAGUGAACCAGUUAAUUUUUCAUUUGAUCACUAGAGAUUAUCACUAGAGAUUAUCACUUUGUGUCUAAGUAAUCUUUCCUUCUGUUUUUCACUAUUCCUCUCAUAUUUACUUUCUUGGUCUCUCUUCUCUCUCUCUCUCUCUCUCUCUCUCUCUCUCUCUUACUAUAUUCUUUCACCUUUUCCUGCUCCUCUAUCUCUUAUACAGCACUUAUUUAGAUCUUUAUGAUUGCAAUUUUUUUUUUCCUUCCUUGGGAAGGAAGCAGUUCAGAAGAGGAUUUUGUGGGGAGUUUUUUUUCCGUUUUUUUUCUUUCUUUUUUUUCUAAUUGAAAGAAGCGGACAGAGUAACAGUGACACACAAAGUGAGAGGAAGUGAACAGAGAGGAAAUGAAUUGGAGUAAAUUCUAUAAAGCUUGGACUGAUUUCUAGUCAUUUCUACCUAUCUUUCUUUCUCCUCUUCCUCAUUAUCUGUUUGUCUUUUUAGUAUGGAAAGCAGACGUAUGAUGAUGAUGAUGACUACCACUUAUGAUAAUGACUACCACUUAUGAUAAUGACUACCACUUCUGCUAUGGCUCUGCAUAUGUUGAGUGCUAUGAAUUGCGCCUUUUUGCAAAACCAGGAAUUAAAAAAUGAAUAAAAAGAUAGGAAAGAAUUUUUCUUCAAUAACAGAAACAAAAAAAAAAUGUCAACAGAGAGAAAGGGGAAUUGUUUUUACAAAGACUAGAGAUGACAACUACUCUAUAGAACGGUUGUGAUGACAGCAUCUGUGAUAAGAAUGGGCGCGACAGUGAGAAUAUAGGUCUUCUACUGCAACAAACACUAAUCUAUUGGUGACUAUGUCUAAAAAUAAUAUAAUUAGUAAUAACAUCUGUGGCAAUUUCUUACCAUAGCAAAAUAACACAGUAAGCAGGCAAACAUUUUAACACAUUUUCUAUAACUGAAGUCCUAUUGUACCUGUGUGUUUCAUGUAUGUGUGUGUGUGUGAAUAUAGAUGUAUAUGUGCUACUAGGUGUUGCAAUUAAGUAUGACCUCAACUGAUGCAGGUUAUAACCUUGUAGAGGUUCUGCCUGUGUAUACAUAUAUUUAUGUAGUUAAGUAUAUACUUGCAUGUAUAUGUCUAUGUGUGUGUGUAUGUACACACACAUGUAACACAUGUAAUAUGCAUGUAUACAUAUAUACAUGUGUGCAAGCAAGAGCGCACACACUAACACACAUAGAUGCAUGUGUUGUAGGUGUCUGUAAGUGUAUUUGUACUAAAAUGACUUUUAAAUUGUAUAUAACUUUAAGAUAAGAACUUGUUCACCUGAAUGUGAGUUAAAUGUCACUGGUGAAAAUAAAAUGUGAAGCAUACAGAUUGAAAUGUCUACUCUAGGAAAAUAAAUAUUAUAAAUAUAUAAUUGAUGUAAAAACAAAAGUGUGUCAAUUAGGACAAUGAUUGGUUGGUGUAGAAAGAGUGUUCUUGGAACGGAACACCUAAGAACUUUUCCUUUUGUAUACAUUUAGUGGCCCUGUAACCUUUCUGCUGUAGCAUAAGAGGUGUGGUGUCUUUUUUUUAACCUUUUAUUUUUUGUGAAGGACAUAUGUUUUACAACACUGCUGAAGGUUGUCUAAGUGUAAAAAAUAUCUAUGCGCCUAUGUGUUUGCAUAUAUAAAUAUAUAUUUAUGUGUGUGUAUAUAUAUAUAUAUAUGAGCAUGUAGGUUAUAUAUAUAUAUACAUACACACACACCUACACACUUAAGUAGACAUAUUUAAAUACACAUAAAUACAUUCACAUAUAAUUGUAAAAAAAAUAGGAAAAUACAUUUUCCAUAAUAUUUGAAAUGACCAAAUUAAUAUUUCUAGUAGAAACGAAUGUUCAAAUAAAGCUGUUCUAAACCCAGUUGGUUUUAUGGUAAGUUUACAGAAGUGGAAAAUAGAAGAAAAAAUAAUAUCCUGUUACAUUACACAAGACUACAUAUCAACCUCCAAUAUACAAACUACAAAUCAACACCUGGCCUACACAUCACACCCAGUCUAACAACAUACACAUCCCCUACUCCAUACCUAAUCCAUUCAUCAACACUUAAUUUGUUGCUGGUUUGACCCUAUCAUCUGGUCCCUUGGUGCCUUUAGUAGUUUCUAGUCUGUUGCAAGUAGCUUGACCACCUCUCCAAUAUGAAGGCAACUCAUUCUCUUGAUACACCUCUUCUUACUUUACCAUCCUUUGUGUAGUGUUGUUAGUAAGUGGGUACAAACAUAAGGGAGUUCUCCACCAGAGGACUACAGCUAGAUGUGGCUAAACCUGGCCCCUGUGAAUAAUACCUGGUGCAGCUACCCUGUUUGCUAAACGUGUACUCUCUGCUAUAUUAGGUUAUGACUGGUGACCUAGCAGUCAUAGACCUUCAAGAUGUCUGUCUGUGGUUACUGAUUUCCAGCUGGUUUCCUUAGAGUUAUUAAAGAAGUGACCAACCACAAUUCAUAAGUUGUGGUUUCUACUUCCUUUCAUUCAUCAACAUCUGAGAUCCUGCAAAAGUUAUGGGUUGUGCUCCUCCCCUCUUUAAUGAAGCAAACAGAAACAUCAGGCUAUAUACAUAUGCAACACCUCAAUAUAUAUAUUGUUCAACAAAAGUGACUUCAAAUAAUUGGUUAACCAAAGAAUUUGGUGCAAAACUAUUUUCUUCAAGGCAGUAAAAGGUGAAAAUUUUAUUUUUACUUCUUUUCAUUAAAUAUCCUAAAUCAAUUUUACCAUUUUUCUCUCAGACUACAAUUAACACAUUCAAGAUGGUAUUUUAAAAUAAAUUUUCUAAACAUGAAAAAUAAUUAAUAUUUUUUGUAAAAAAAAAAAAAAAUUUUUUUUUCCACAUUUCUUUCAGGUUUUCUCAUUUAAAUUGUUUUGUUGUGUUUUUGUUAUUUUCAAAUUUAAAACUAUAAAAAGUAAUAAAAUCUAAAGGUUGGUGGUGUUAAGUGAUGUGGACUUACGUGAAAAAACUUGAAAUUGUGUUAAUUAGAGAAGUAAAUUAAUAAUGUAAAAUAGAAGGAAUUAAAAUUAGAUUCAAUUAUGUGAAUGCUUUCUUUUCAUUGCUGCAAAGUGACAGGUUUGUAGAGGAGAAAUAUAGAUAAUUGAAUGAACCUUAGUAUAUGACUAAUACUUAUUUUACUGUGAUUUGGCAGAAUAAAAUGCAUAGCCAGUUCCCAUGAGAUUUGAACUCAGAUCAUGUCCUCAAAUUGAAUGGUCAAAACACUUUCACUGCUGUAUCAGGGCUGAUACAUUGCUUGACAGAAAACAUUAAGUAAUGUUGUUGCUUCUACUACUAGCUGCAAUUGUUUAGUAAUUUUAGUUGUAUGCUCCCUGUUCCUAGAACAAGCCCUUUACACCUUAUUAACUGUUCAUUGGAAGCUUGAUUUGUGUAUGUAUGCCAGCUCAUGAGAGGCACAGUGGUUGUGAGAAUAGCCUGUUUGUCUAAAGACCACAUAGACUCGAGUUCAGAUUUCACUACAACUAUUCUCUUAUUGCUUAAGCAAAGAAGAAAAAAAAAACAUGAACUCCAAUCUUACUUCACAGUUCAGCUGUUAGUGGUAAAAAGAGGCAUUUAACUGUAAAAAUAAUUACUUCAGUUAAGAGACAGCAAUGCCAUGGGUUGUGAGAUGAACAGAUGACCAUAGAAGAGGAAGUAGAGGUGAGAGUAGAUCUAACGAUCCUGGACUUCACUGAAGACAUAAUGAAAGACUGGCACAGCUAGCAAUAUGGUGAUGUAUUGAUAUGAAGAAAAUGAAUUUGGUUGAAACUGAGGGAGUUUGGUGGGGAUAGGGGUCUCAAAUGGUUUAUUGUAUUUAGUUUGGUACUUGUUGUUGGGAGUUAAUUGGCUUUACCUAUUCGAUUUCUAUCAUCAGCAAAAUACUAGUGAUAUUGAAGUGAAUUGACUGAUCUGGACCCACUUAUAAGCCCUAAAAGUUGAGAAUGGUUUACUAUGCAAAACUUAUAAAAAUAAUAAUUUUCAACAUUGACACAAGGUCACAAAUUAUGGUGGGGUAGGUGGAGUCCGUUCAAAUCAAAUACCCCCCAAUUUAUGACAUAUGCUAUAUAUGCUGCUGAUGUUGGAAAAAUAAAAGGUAGUCUGCCCACAACAAGAUGCAAAAAGAUGAAAGUAAUUCCAUUACCCUAAUAAAAAAAUGUUGAUGAUAUAUUUGCAUGCAGAAACAUUCAGAUAGCUAUAUAUAUUCAUACUGCUGAUUACUAUAUAAUUGUACCCUCACUAUCACCAACAUUAAAGGUUCCUUUGAUAUCAUAUUCAAACCUUAACCCACCAGGUCAGCAGAGGUCAGAUUGCUAAACCCAGUGAAACCAAUUGUAAUAUUAGUUGAGAAGAGAAUGCAAGUCUUAACUCUGGUAUUGUCCAUCUUGUAAUCUGAGUUCAAAAUCUAUCUUCUCAAAAUUUUUUAGGAUGAAUAAAAAAUUCUUACAAUAAUUGCAUCUGUGAAAAUUCACUUUGUAUUGAGUCAAAAGGAAUCAUUAUAGCAUGGUGGUAUUUUAUCCUGCUCUUUUUGUUCUGAGGUCAUAUUCUGUUAAGCACUGGAAGUGACAUAAUCAACAAAUCCCUUCCCUAAAAACAGCUACCUUUUGUUCCUGAAUUAAAACCAUUAUUAUUAUUAUUGUUAUAGCAAGCUGGCAGUACUUUAGCAUACUGGGAAAAAUGCUUUGUGGUAUUUCAUCCACCUUCAUAUUCUGAGUUCAAACUCUGCUGAGAUCAGCUUUGCUUUUCAUCCUUUUGGGGUCGAUAAACUAAGUACCAGUUGAGUACAAGGGUUGAUGUAAUCAACUUAGCUCUUCCCUGAAGUUACUGGCCUUGUGCUAAAGAAUUUGAAACCAUUAUUAUUAUAAUUAUUAAAAGGUAAUGGAUUAGUAGAAUUGUUAAAGCAUAGGGGCAAGACAACUUGCAGUAUUUGUUCUGAAAUUGUCUGUUCUAGUUUCAAACCUUACAUCCCUCCAGAGUCAAUAAAAUAGAGUACCUGUCCAAUACUGAAAAUAAUAUAUUCAACUGUACCCCCACCCUCACUGAAAUUUUGGCUGUGUGCCUAAUUUAAAAAGCAAUUGUUAGCAUGUUAGGCAAAAAACUUAGUGACAUUUCUUCUAGCUCUUCCACUUUGCCUUUCCAUCUUUUCAGGGCUGAUAAGGUUAGUUAUUAUUUGAGCACUGGAGUUGAUGUAAUUGACUUCCUCCUCCCCUUAAAAUUGCUGGCCUUGUGCCCAAAGUACUUGUCAGCUGUUGAGGAGGGAGGUCAUUGAAUUGAUUACGUUCUGCCCCAAAAUACAUGACCUUUCGUUUGUAAUAGAUACAAUUAUUGUAUCCAAAGUUGCUAAGUAGGUGACCAUCAAAUAUUAAGGUUAACUACAUAUUCACCCCA